CCUACGGGUAGCAGCAGUGAGGAAUAUUGGACAAUGGAGGCAACUCUGAUCCAGCCAUGCCGCGUGCAGGAUUUCGGUCCUAUGGAUUGUAAACUGCUUUUAUACAGGAAGAAACGAUCCCGAC
rnacentral:rRNA from 1 species